rnacentral:rRNA from 1 species
UACGUAUGGGGCAAGCGUUAUCCGGAUUUACUGGGUGUAAAGGGAGCGUAGACGGUUUGGCAAGUCAGAUGUGAAAGCCCAGGGCUCAACCCUGGGACUGCAUUUGAAACUGUCCGACUAGAGUGCAGGAGAGGUAAGUGGAAUUCCUAGUGUAGCGGUGAAAUGCGUAGAUAUCUGGAGGAACACCGGUGGCGAAGGCGGCAUCCUGGACCAAUUCUGACACUGAGGAGCGAAAGCCAGGGGAGCAAACGGG